rnacentral:rRNA from 1 species
GACAGAGGGUGCAAACGUUGUUCGGAAUUACUGGGCGUAAAGCGCGUGUAGGCGGCUUUCUAAGUCAGGGGUGAAAUCCUGGAGCUCAACUCCAGAACUGCCUUUGAUACUGGAGAGCUUGAGUCCGGAAGAGGUGAGUGGAACUCCGAGUGUAGAGGUGAAAUUCGUAGAUAUUCGGAAGAACACCAGUGGCGAAGGCGGCUCACUGGUCCGGUACUGACGCUGAUGUGCGAAAGCGUGGGGAGCAAACAGG